GCCCCGAUAGCUUAGCUGGCAGAGCGACGGACUUUUAAUCGGUGUACCUGGGUGUUUGCCGCGGCGACCGGCGUCGGCGCA
rnacentral:tRNA from 1 species